rnacentral:lncRNA from 10 species
AACUACAGUUGUUUUAAGGUAUUGAUGUUUUAAAGUAUAAGAUAUAGUUGAUCGGCAUCGUUCACUGAUCACAUAUUUGUGAAUUCACCUCCUUGCUAAAAUUUAUUUGUAACAUUAAUGUAUACUUGUGGCGCCUUUGCAGUCAUCUGUGCCCAUGCACAGACCAAUGACAAAUUUGAGUUGCCCAACUGGCAUGUUCCCCAGAUGAGAUUGGUUGGCAAAGUGAAGUUUUGCCUUUUUUUUUUUUUUUGAGACAGAGUUUUGCUCUUGUUGCCCAGGCUGGCAUGCAAUGGCAUGACCUCGGCUCGCUGCAACCUCUGCCUCCCAGCAUUUAGAAGACAGUGAAGACUUAUUUUUUUUCCCAUUCAAGUUUACAGGCACUAUUAAUUCUGGGGAUCCCUAAGGACCCUAGUUAAGAAAAUUUUCUCAGUUGGAUUAAAUCAGUGACAGAGCAGGGAGGGAUUGGGAAGCUGGUGCGGAUUCUGGGGAGAUUCAGGUCCGGUCACAUUGUGUAUCAAUACAAGUCCCAUAUAGAGAUUUUUAGCUGAUCUGCUUUUUCUGGGGGGCUGACUUUAUUUUUGUCACCAGGGCCUGAACCCAAAAGGCUCAGCAUGAAAUGAAAAAUGCUCAUGGUGGGUGGAAAUAGAAAUUUUGGUAAUUACUCAUGUGGCAAAUAGUGAGCUCUAUUUCAAUAGUGUAGGGCAAGCCAGGUCUCUCCUCUGAUAACAGGAGAGAGUAUCUGUUUCUUUUUUUUUUUUUUUUUUUUUGAGACAAGGUCUCAUUCUAUCCCCCAGGCUGGAGUGCAGCGGUGCAGUCUGGGCUCACUCCCUCGACCUCCUGCUGGGCUCAAGUGAUCUUCCCAAGCAGCUAGGACUGCAGGUGUGUGCCACCACACCCAGCUAAUUUUUGUUUUUUUUUUUGUUUUUUUUUUUUUGUAGAGACAGGGUUUCACCAUGUUGCCCAGGCUGGUCUUGAACUCCUGAGCUCAAGUGACCCUCCCACCUCCGUCUCCCAAAGUGCUGGAAUUAUAGGUGUGAGCCACAGUGCUCGGCUGGGAGACAGAAAUUAUAAUAGAGUUUUGGGGUAUUUAGAUGAAGAUCACAUAAGAGCCCCAAGUCCCCUCACCAAGUGUGCCCAGGGAAGAAGGCGCCUCUGAUGGCUUUUCUUUCUCACUCUUCUCACCGUGAUGAGCGAGGAGCGUGAUUCAAUGGGUCUAAUUCAAAUGUGUCAAAAAAGAGGCUGCUGAUUUUACUUUUAAAUAGCAAGAAAUAACAGUGUGACCUGGAGAGCAACACUAACUUCUCAUUCACUCAUUCAUUCAGUGCUAUUUCUUGUGCGUCUGCAGUGGUCAGGCAUUGUGUUGGGGGUUGGACACAGGAGUACACAUGACCGGCCAGGUACCCAUCUCAUGGAGCCUGCAGUUCAGGUUCCGGUGCUUUUUUCCACAGCCCCUCCAGGAAUGGGGAGAUGGGGAGGGCAGCAUGCCAACCCAGGAAAGCCCUUCAGGUGCCUGUCAGUGGACAAUCCUCAGACACCAUCAUUCUGGAAAACUCAAGGCUGAAGACAGUAGCUCAAGGGGCACCUGUGCAGCAAUACGGGAUAGGUGCUGUUAUAAGAAGUACGCAAAGCACAGGGACGGCAUUCUCAAGCCAGAGAGAAAGACUUGGUCAAAUCUCAAAGAAGGAACGUGUCUGGAGCAUAGAAAAUGCAGGCAGAAGUGAAUGAGCCUUGCCCGGGCACCUGAUCCAGGGCAGAGGGCCUGACCUCAGACUCCAGUUUUGCAGGCAAUAGUGGUAUUUAGUAAUGAUUUCCAUGUGGUAUUUAUUUGCAGUAUUUGUGUUUUCUGAAAAAGUGAGAUGGGGUCAACGUCCUCUUCCACCCCUCAGUUCCUUGGUGCUGUGCCUCAGAGUAAGGUCAAAGCUCAGGAUUUGGGUACCUUUGUUUUCCCACCUGAGCCCAUUCAAAAGAUGGAACUGGUUAGAUGUUAGGUGAUUCCCCAAGGUUGUGAGUGGUCAGGCCUAAGAGAAUUUAAACAGUCUUUUUUAGAGGGGUGGGAAGUGACAGGUUCAGAGAAGACAUAUAGGGUGGGAGAAGGGAGGUAGUCAGGCCGGGAGACCCUCCCUUUACUCUGGAGUCUUCCUGUACAGAUUAAAUAAGUGUACUUUGGGUAUCUAUCACCUUAAAUAUUUGUCUUUUCUGUAUGCUAGAAACAUUCAAAUUAUUUUCUUCUAGCGAUUUGAAAUGAAAUGUACAAUAGCAUUUAGUAAACUAUAGUCACCCUACUGAUCUGUCAGACACUAGGCCUUAUUUCUUUUAUCUAACUGUACAUUUAUACCCACUAAUCAACUAAUAAAAUACUUUAAAGGAAAAAAAUUGUAUUGUCAUUUUUCUGGACUUUGUGAGGUUAUAUGGCACUUUGUCAACUUUUAAACAUUUGUAAUUUGUGGUGAUUUCUUUCCUCAUUCUAAAUGUGUAUUCAAGUUCAUGUCUAAUUUUGUAUUUAUAGUUUUGUGUUAUGUUUUUCAAGGGGGCCUCAUGAAGCCUGCUCUGCCCCCUUGUGUGAGUCCUUGGCAGCUGGCCAGCCGCCUGCAUAGGAGGAAGCUCAGCUCGCCCGGCCAUUUUAAAGAAGUCAGCAACACAGGGGGGAUCAGUCCCCUGGCAUGCCAAGACCCUGGGUAAAUUGCUGAACAUCGCUGGACUUAAGUGUUUU